GUGAGGGUGAGGCACGCUACGCCGUUCGCUACCCGCGGUUUAGGAAAGGUGGCUGGGUAGUCCGCCCAAUCAAAGAGAAACCAUCGUACGGAUACGCAACAAAUCUUAUGGUGGCCUUAGUAGAGGAAUACUCUAGAUCACCACAGGCCCUGCAAGAAAGAAGUGCUGUCUUGUCUUCUGCUGCCCCGCCCCCCCUCACCACUUCCCUUCAGAAGGUUGCCAAGGAUGAGGCAGUCAGCCUCCAUCUCGCACGACACUCACGAUUUGCAACGAACAUGCAAUAAAAGAUCAGUUUUACCAACA